UACGUAGGGGGCAAGCGUUGUCCGGAAUCAUUGGGCGUAAAGAGCGUGUAGGCGGUCCGGUCAGUCGGUUGUGAAAGUCAAGGGCUCAACCCUUGAAUGCCGGCCGAUACUGCCGGGCUAGAGUCCGGAAGAGGUGAGUGGAAUUCCUGGUGUAGCGGUGAAAUGCGCAGAUAUCGGGAGGAACACCGGUGGCGAAGGCGGUUCUCUGGGCCUGUACUGACGCUGAGGAGCGAAAGCGUGGGGAGCGAACAGG
rnacentral:rRNA from 1 species